GAUGAACGCUGGCGGCGUGCUUAACACAUGCAAGUCGAACGGAAAGGCCCAAGCUUGCUUGGGUACUCGAGUGGCGAACGGGUGAGUAACACGUGGGUGAUCUGCCCUGCACUUCGGGAUAAGCCUGGGAAACUGGGUCUAAUACCGGAUAGGACCACAUUUUGGAUGGUGUGGUGGAAAGAUUUUCGGUGUGGGGUGAGCUCGGGGCCUAUCAGCUUGUUGGUGGGGUAAUGGGCUACCAAGGCGUCGACGGGUAGGCGGCCUGGGGGGGUGGACGGCCACAUUGGGACUGGGGUACGGCCCAGACUCCUAAGGGGGGCAGCAGGGGGGAAUAUUGCACAAUGGGCGCAAGCCUGAUGCAGCGACGCCGCGUGGGGGAUGACGGGCUUCGGGUUGUAAACCCCUUUCGCUAGGGACGAAGCGUUAUGUGACGGUACCUGGAGAAGAAGCACCGGCUAACUACGUG
rnacentral:rRNA from 1 species